UCUGUCACUAUUUCUAUUGCUGUUAGUCUCCAUAGUAAGCAGUAGACUCACUGUAGGAGAACAACAGAGUACAGCGCAUAGGAACCGAGCAUACCAUUUCUUCAAGGAGGGGGGAGCAUCGUCAUUUUUAAUGUUGCACAGUGUGACCAAGAUAAACAGUAUGCCAUCCCGUGACGUUAACAUCAAUAAUGUUUAAAAUUAUUUUAUAUCGGGUUAUUGUAAAAGUUGUUUUUGAACGCAUUUAAUUUCAAUCUCAAAACAACCGAAUGACACUUGCCUCCUCCACCGCUGAGAAAGGAAGAAAUAAUACCAGUCUCAUGCAAUCCUAGAGCAAUUCUCCCUUGAAUUAUUUACAUUUCUUGGUAUACAGCGUAUACAUAUUCUAUUUAUAUCAUUCUAUUAGAUUCAACAAAUUAACAACUAUUUUAUUCAAGCACAGUACAGAGGACAAUAGCACAUUCUUAUGCGACGUACAGUACAGUAAUGGAAGCUGCAACAGAUGACUUGAUGUCAACAUGGAUCGAAGAAAAAAAAAUUGGGGUCGCCAAAGUGGAAUGAACCACCAACCUCUCCAGCAUUGGUUUAACGCAGCAGAUGCCCUUCCAGCCACAACUUGACACUUAGAAACAACUAUACACACUCUUUCAAUUUACCUAUAGCACACGUCUUUGGACUGUGGGUGAAACUGGAGCACCUGUAAGAAACCCAAACAUACAUGUAGAGAAUAUGCAAACUCCGCACAGAAAUACCAACUGACCCAGCCAGGGCUCGAACCAGUGACCGUCUUGCUGUGAGGCAAUUGUGCUUUCCACUGUGGCACUGUGACAACCCCAACCCUAGUGGUUGAUUGCUUGUGUAAUAUUGAUAAUUUAAUAAUAAUAAAAACACUGCUCUGUA